CUCUCACCUCUUUCCCAGGGGUUUCAUUUCCCAGUGGAUCUAUUCACAUUUUAUUACAGAACUUGCAUGAAUUUCUCAAACUUCUUUCACAGACAUUUCGUUCUGGUUUAUGUAGCAGAGAGUAUGACAGGUCUGUCAGGCAAUGCCUUCAAUACUCAGGGUAUUAUCUGCAUCUGGCCAUGGCCCAUCAGUUUGGGAACACUCUGGAGAAGGUGACAUAGCUGUGGAUUAUUUGCCCUGCUCCGAAACCCAGCAUACCUGAGCUAAGUGGGCCCGUAAAAAACACGAAGUAACGCAGUAUGGCUCUGGAUCCAAACAAAUGCCCAAAACAUCUCUCACAACCAUUUCUCUUCGUGGUGCAGCUCAUGUAGUCCCCAGGACAUGAGACAAGCCUGCUGUCUGCAUGGGCAGUAUGACAGUAUGAAAGAGGUGGGCAGGUCUUGCAAAGGGAAGUGGUUCACAGCCUUGGAGCUGCUUGCAGGAUGAGGCCUAGAGACCUGGAAAAGAUGGUGUGGCAAAAAUGAGCUGAAUGUUGGAAGGACUCCCCCAGCUGAAACGCCAUCAGUGAGGGUUCAGUGAGGAGUCCCAAGAGAUGGGGAGUACAGAGGCCGUAGCUAGAAGUGUCAUGUCCUACGCACCUCUUAACAGGACACCACUUCUUGAGUAGAGCUCUCACUCAGCAGUGCAUCCCUACAUGUAUUUCUUACCUGGCCAGGCACCUUUGCUGUACCACUAGUUCAGUUUGUCUGUGGGGUCUUUAUGCAUUUCUUUAGCCUGUGAGACUGAGAGCUGUGGUGUAGCCUGCAAAGGAGUGCAUCAUACCCCUAUGGAGCAGCUCCACGGGUGGGAAGAACACCAGCCUCCCUCCUGCUGAGGAGAGGAAGGGUUGUCCUGCAGUAGCUUGGUAUGAAACAGGGAUUAUUUCAUUCUGGAAAAGAAACUGAGAGCUGCUUUCUUCCUCUGUGAUUGUGUCUAAUAUUUGUUCAAAUAAAUUCUUUUUUUAACG
rnacentral:lncRNA from 1 species